CUGGCUUCAGGGGCUGCUACACGAGGGCGCCGCUGCUUCCAGAAGGAUGCUUACCGGAACCGGAACCGGAACCAGAAACCAACAGGAAGCCCCAGGAAGCACGCGAGUUCACGCAGCUAGUAAAACUGUGAGGUUGAAUGAAAUCGUAGGUCUCUUAGGUCCGAAUCCUAGCUGAGGAUUUUUCCCAACUCAACAGGCUGAGGAAGAAGAAAGGAGCCAGGGCAGGAAGAUAAAUUAAGUGAAAAAAAUAUUAACUAACGCGGGAGCGGUUCCUAAAUUGAAAGUACCAGAGGGAUUGAAAUCAGGAUCUGUGACUCCGCCAAAUCCAGGGCUCUUUCCAGAGACCACACAGGCGUUCAUUUAGGAAAACAGCAGCCCAUCGUGGUAACCCUGAUUGAGAGCAGAUCCUAAAGUCAGCUACAGCAAAAAUCAACAUAAGCACCCAUGUCAGUGCUUCUUUUUGAAGUUGACAGCGCACCCCAGGAGCCCUGACAGGACACCAGGAGAGGACAGCAGGAGAGGGAGAACAUGGCAGACACCAUAGGAAAACCAGCUUGUAAGCACUUUUGAGACAUCCGGGGGUCUCCCAAGGAUCCCAGGGGAAAGAGGGGACUUGGACUUUGAAGCACGUGUGUGUGUGUGUGUGUGUGUGUGUGUGCGCGUGUGCGUGUGUGUGUGUGUGUGUGUGUAAGUUCCAAGUUUAACUGUUAAUGUGACCCCAUCUAUAUCCACAAACCUUUGAGUCCUGGGAACACUAGAGGUCACUACAUUAUUUCCAUCAAAAGCUUUAGCAAAAGAACAAAAGAAAUGACAAACUGAAAGAAGAGGCAAGGAAGGACAGGGGAGGGGAGGAGACGGGAGAGGGCUGGAGAGGAAGGGAGAGGAAGGGAGAGGAAGGAAGGAAAGCAACCCUCCUGCUUGGUCCACUUAGUCCCAGGCACCGAGCCCCGCGCCCCCGCAAACAACUGCCCUGAGAGAUUCAACUUUUCCUCCUCUCUCUCAGCCAGAGCAAAAGAAGCUGUAAUGAGGUUAUUUAUUCCCCCCAAGAAGCACUGUGGUAAUAAGUCCCUUAGCUGACUCCUCUCAGGCUAAGCUACCUCACAAAUAUAUGAAAUGCCCAAACCCGGCAAUCAGUACAGCUAAUUGAAAUGCCAACUUGAAGUUCACUACACGAGUGCCGCUGGGGUCACAGUCAUUACCAGCGAUUAAAUGUUAUGCGAAAAGAUCCAUGAAGAGACACGGUUUUAGCAAUAUGCUUUAACCCUGCACCCACAGUGGGAAAAGGAAAAGACAGCCAAACCCUUGACAAGAAGGCGGGACUGGAACCAGGGCAGAGCUCGUCCUGGGGACUGCGUCGGAACACAGACCUAAGGCAGUAGGGGGCGCAGAGGCUGGCUGCCCAAGUGGACAGUAACAACAGAGGCAGACUGAACAUCUUACUAAAGGGCCUGCGAUCGGGAUGGUCCAGCAGACCCUGGGAUCGGGUCUCGGUGCCAGUCAUAGCUUCGCCUCUUUUUUCUCACCUGGAAAGCAAAGGUAAUACUGUCUAUACCUCGGAACUGCCGUGAGGAUUAAAUGAAUAAGUAGUUUAAGUGCCGAGACGAGAGGCUCCUGGGUGACUCAGUUGGCGAAGCAUCAGAAUCUUGGUUUCGGCCCAAGCCAUGAUCUCACAGUUUGUGGGCUCGAGCCCCUCGUCCAGCUCUGAGCUGGCAGCA